AACGAACGCUGGCGGCAUGCCUAACACAUGCCAGUCGAACGAGACCUUCGGGUCUAGUGGCGCACGGGUGCGUAACGCGUGGGAACCUGCCCUUAGGUUCGGAAUAACUCCCCGAAAGGGGUGCUAAUACCGGAUAAUGUCUUCGGACCAAAGAUUUAUCGCCUUUGGAUGGGCCCGCGUUGGAUUAGCUAGUUGGUAGGGUAAAAGCCUACCAAGGCGACGAUCCAUAGCUGGUCUGAGAGGAUGAUCAGCCACACUGGGACUGAGACACGGCCCAGACUCCUAGGGGAGGCAGCAGUUGGGAAUAUUGGACAAUGGGCGAAAGCCUGAUCCAGCGAUGCCGCGUGAAUGAUGAAGGCCUUAGGGUUGUAUAGCUCUUUUGCCCGGGAUGAUAAUGACAGUACCGGGAGAAUAAGCGCCGGCUAACUCCGUG
rnacentral:rRNA from 1 species